rnacentral:rRNA from 1 species
GCGAUCAUACCAGCACUAAUGCACCGGAUCCCAUCAGAACUCCGAAGUUUAGCGUGCUUGGGCGAGAGCAGUACUAGGAUGGGUGACCCCCAGGGAAGUCCUCGUGUUGCACCUU